UUCCCUAUCGUGUUCCUUUGUUCAUCUGAGAUUCUGGGGCUCUGAGCCGAUAAUUGUAAAUUCUUAAUUCCCUAUCGUGACAUUUCAUCUCUCUCUCUCAUCCCUUGCCGCAGUAGAAGAAAGCUUCGAUCUUUUGCUUUCCGUAUCACAUAUCUCUCUCUGACCCAUCUUCUGUUCUUGUGUUCUUCAGACAAUUCCCCACAUAUUACUUUAGAUGGGUUAGAUAUAUGUUGAGCCUGUUCUCGAGCAAUAUAGACCUGCCGUUGUGGGCUCUUUGACAUUUUCUAAGCUUACUCUUGGUACUGUGGCACCUCAGUUUACAGAGAUGGAUUCUGAAUCUGAACAUACUAUAGCGCUUCUUGAUGCUCAGCGUGAGUAUAUGGACUGGAAUGCGGAGGAUGCUGAAUUUGAUGAAGACUUGAUGGAACCAGAAGUAGAAAAUCAAGCAACUGCAGCGACUCAAGCAACUGCAGCGACUUAAGCAACGGCAUCAACACAAGCAACCAAACCUCAACAUAAGCGUCGAAAAACCUUAACUGUUUGGAAUGAUUUCGUAUUAGUGGGGAUAGAAGAGGAUGGAAAAAAAAGGGCUAAGUGCAUUCAUUAUGAUUCAAAAUUAGUGUAUAAUAGUAAGACUCAUGGUACAAAUCAGUUGAAGCGACACUUAGAGGGUUGUUUUAAGAUGCCUAAGAAGGUAGAUAAGCAUGUAUAUGAUCAUAUGGUAGAUCGUGAGAUGGUUACUGAAGCUAUCUUCUACCAUGAUCUACCAUUUCGAUAUGUGGAAUACGAGGACCAACAUCUCAGUCAUUCAUUAUCUUGAAAUUGAUAAUUUUGGUAUAAAUGUUCAUAAUGAAGGAUUUUUUUGAGUUGGAAAAGAGCAUUGGACAAGGAGCUAGUGAUCCAAAGACACAUUUGGAUAUCUACUUGGAAGGGCCAAGGCUAAAUAGGAGGGCUAACUUAAAUUUGGAUGUCUUGAGUUAUUGGAAGGAGAACCAACAUCGAUUUGGUGAUUUAACAUCUAUGGCUAGAGACAUCCUCAUCAUUCCGAUCACCACAGUAGCUUCUGAGUCUGCCUUUAGCGUUGGAUCCCGAGUUUUAACUCCUUACCGAAACCGCCUCUUACCUAAAAUGUCCAAGUUCUUCUUUGCACAAGGAAUUCACUACAGGAAAUGUGGU